rnacentral:lncRNA from 10 species
UUUAUGUGCUGGGCUGACUCAACUGGGCUGGAUUCCAGGCCCAUCACUGACUAUGCUUCUGUCAUUUCAACGGAGAGAAGAGGAAAUGAGGAUAAGUUCCAGAGGGAUGCAAGGGUGAAGUGCACUCACAAAGCUGCCACAUAGUGAGAUGGUCUUUGGAGAGGCCCAAGUAGCAGCAAUCAACCAUCAACAAACAGAAGCCCUCAGUCCCACAAUCCGAAAAGAAUUGAAUUAUGCAAACAACCACAAGAAUGAGCUUGGAAGCAGAUUCACCCCAGAAGGACCUGGAGAAGAGUUGACUGUAGCCUCCGAGAGAUCCGAGCCAGAGACCUGCUAAGCCACGCCCCCAUUCCUGACCCACAGAAACCAGGAUAAUAAAUGUGUGUUGUUUUAAGUCUCUAAGUUUUGGGGUAAUUUGUUAGAUAGCAAUAGACAACUAACAGUCUCCAAUAUUUAAUGCCAGUUAUUUACUGUGUUGGGUCGUGGGGACAUUAAGGUGUUCUUUUAG